UAGCUGCAGAAAUGGAUGAUCUUAAGGUACAGGCUGGAACAUCUUUUGACGGGUUUGCGGCUCCGUACGCUGACUCCUCGAAACGAGCCAUAUACUGUCCUUUCUCCUUGACGACCUGCCUCUGCCAAUAGUGGUAAUGUAAUAGAAACCGGCCGGGCAGAAUCAUGGCCUCACUUAAAUGCAGCCAAGGAAGGGUCUUUGGCUCGAGGGUGGAAGCGGAGCCGUUCAACUUGUCUUGCUGAUCAAGUGGACAAAGACCAAAGGCAACAGAAUCGAAGGUGAGCUGCAAGUGCAUGGAAGGGGUCCCGCUGGCAACAUCGUCUUGCUGCAAACAGAAUCUAUAUAUUCCCCACACCAACAACUCGGGGUGCGACACUCGGUCAAUACCUAUCGCCGGGGGACAGCUCUU
rnacentral:sRNA from 2 species